CUUGAAGAUAAGCGCGGCCACUCCUUUGGAUACGAGGGCUGGGCAUUUGUUGUUCUGCCAAAUCCCAGAUAGCAGCUGAAGAUCGACGAACUUCGUUUGUUCAUAGGGCGGCGGCACACAGCAGAUCUAAAGGAUGGAUGGGUACAGGAUCCCCGCUUCGGGCCCGAGCGCACGCCGACAGAUCGACGAUACAUCCUUGGAAUCAGCAGAAGAAGAAGAGGGGAUUGGUUUCCCUGCUGGAGGUGCCGUUGCGGAGUCAGAGUCAGAUGAAGAAGAUCAGAACCAGCACAAUGGAAAAGCGCCUGCGAUCAGCUCCAGGUGUAGCGUUAAGAAGCUUCAUGAUUUGAUCGCCUCGCUUGACGAGGAAAAAUACAGUAUGUCGUCGAGAUGGAUUUUGGUGGCCUGCUGGAGCUGAAUACUUUGAUGGUUGGACGCCGAAGACCAAAGGUGGCAUGAUUGGUUCCCAAAGCUCACCACUGGCCCUUGGGUCUGCAGCAGGGCAUCCAGCGGGAUCGUCGCGCUACAUUACGCAGGGCAGUGGAUGGGGACAAAGCUACAGCAGUCUCUGUCUCUGAUAUGAGAUGAAAUCGACCAAUCUAGGAUGAUUCUGCUUUAUGAGGUUUUGGGGCUAGCUUGCAACACUGGGAAACUUCCAGCGAAAUUCAAAGUUUGCCAGACCGAUUUGCUGAGGAAGUGAGCAAAGUGAUAUCUUGGUAGUAAUGUCACUCUUAUCAACCACUAGACUACACUACUCUAAUAGUGGUCUUCAGCGCAAUGCCUCUGAGAGCGAACUGCAGCAAUCGCCAUGAUCGAAAUAAGUUUCUACAGACUUAUAAUUUGCCCAAGAGAUAUUGCGCAAAUUAUAAGUCUGUAAAGCAGAGUCGAAAUAAGUUUUUACAGAGUGUUUUUCUAAGGCUGUCAGGAAUUAAUUUAGUUGGGAACAUUCCAACUUGGCAAGGAUCUAGACUUGUAAUAUUUUUUAAAACUGCCCUAGUAAUGUUUAAAAGUUAGAGACCUUCUUUUUGCAUGUCGGGACGUGAGAAGCAGAGUACAGCAAUGCAGAA